rnacentral:lncRNA from 1 species
CUGGCUAAGCAGGCUCCAAUUUCUUAAAACCAUAUAUUCUAUGAGACCACAACUUUUUAACCACAUAUUUCAUCACAUUUUAUAUCCAAACCAAACAUGGGUACAAAAGUAACAUUUUCACAGUACAGUUACAAUUUUUUCUUCCUUUUCUGAAAUCAAUAUUUCAUUGCAUCAAUUUCCAUGUAUUGUAUCUAUAUGGUACUGUGUCAGAUUGGCUUUUGCGUGUAAGAAAACCCAUAAAUAAGGUGAUUUUGUACCUCCCUCCACGCAAUUUCACACACAUUGUCGAGCUUCCUGACUCACAUGAGCAAUUACUAGUUUCAUAUUCUUUGGGAAAAAGAAGACACGAUGAGGCCCAAGAGCCAAAAACAAACUACCCACCCCUAGUAUGUCUCGUGCAGCUAUAAAAUGAAGAUUAAC